rnacentral:lncRNA from 1 species
AGCUCAUUAUUUUAUUUUCUCUAUUUUUCAGAUCCAGAGGCUUGAUCGCACGGGAUUGGGGAGUGCGUUAGAUUUUCCGACGAUUCCUUCAGUUAUUAGUCCUUUAGUUAGAUUGAUUAAAGUAUUUGACUUUUGUAAGCAUAUGCUAUUUUGAAAUUUUGUAAGACUGCUUUUGAACAAUUUAAAUAAUUAUGCCAGUUUUGAACAUCUGUAUCUGCUUUGAUAUG